AUUGAACGCUGGCGGCAGGCUUAACACAUGCAAGUCGAGCGAGCGGCGGACGGGUGAGUCAUGUCUGGGAAACUGCCUGAUGGCGGGGGCUAACUACUGGAAACGGUAUCUAAUACCGCAUACCUUCAGAUGUGCCCAGAUGGGAUUAGAUUGUAGGUGGGGUAAUGGCUCACCUAGGCUACGUUCCCUAGCUGGUCUGAGAGUAUGAAGAGCAAAACUGGACCUGGGACACGGCCCGGGUGCCUAUGGAUGGAAGGAGUGGGGAAGAUUGCAAAAGGGGCGCAGGCGUGAUGCAGCCCGUCGGCGUGGGUAAAGAAGGCCUUAGGGUUGUAAAGUACGUUCAGCGAGGAGGCGUUACCCGCAGAAGAAGCACCGGCUAACUCCGCGCCAGCAGCCGCGGUAAUUC
rnacentral:rRNA from 1 species